rnacentral:rRNA from 1 species
UACGUAGGGGGCAAGCGUUGUCCGGAUUUAUUGGGCGUAAAGAGCGUGUAGGCGGCCGCACAGGUCCGUUGUGAAAACUGGAGGCUUAACCUUCAGACGUCGAUGGAAACCGUGCGGCUAGAGUCCGGAAGAGGAGAAUGGAAUUCCUGGUGUAGCGGUGAAAUGCGCAGAUAUCAGGAAGAACACCCGUGGCUAAGGCGGUUCUCUAGUACGGUACUGACGCUGAGACGCGAAAGCGUGGGGAGCGAACGGG